UUUAGGGUUUAAAACCCUAAUAUCGAUUGCAUGGAAAAACUCAGUUUAAGGUUUAAAACCCUAAUGCUGGCUGGAAGAAAAAUUUCAGUUUAGGGUUUAAAACCCUAAUGCUGACUAAAAGGAAAAGUUCAGUUUAGGGUUUAAAACCCUAAUGCUGACUAAAAGGAAAAUUCAGUUUAGGGUUUAAAACCCUAAUGCUGAUUGCAUGAGAAAGCUCAGUUUAGAGUUUAAAACUCUAAUGCUGGCUGAAAGGAAAAAGUUCAGUUUAGGGUUUAAAACCCUAAUGCUGACUACAUGGAAAAAGAUCAGUUUAGAGUUUAAAACUCUAAUGCUAGCUGAAAGGAAAAUUCAGUUUAGGGUUUAAAACCCUAAUGCUGAUUGCAUGGAAAAGCUCAGUUUAGAGUUUAAAACUCUAAUGCUGGCUGAAAGGAAAAUUCAGUUUAGGGUUUAAAACCCUAAUGCUGAUGGCAUGGAAGAGCUCAGUUUAGAGUUUAAAACUCUAAUGCUGGCUGAAAGGAAAAUUCAGUUUAGGGUUUAAAACCCUAAUGCUGAUUGCAUGGAAAAGCUCAGUUUAGAGUUUAAAACUCUAAUGCUGGCUGAAAGGAAAAUUCAGUUUAGGGUUUAAACCCUAAUGCUGAUUGCAUGGAAAAAACUCAGUUUAGGGUUUAAAACCCUAAUGCUGGCUGGAAGGAAAAGUUCAGUUUAGGGUUUAAAACCCUAAUGUUGAUUAAAAGGAAAAUUCAGUUUAGGGUUUAAAACCCUAAUGCUGAUUGCAUGGAAAAGCUCAGUUUAGAGUUUAAAACUCUAAUGCUGGCUAAAAGGAAAAGUUCAGUUUAGGGUUUAAAACCCUAAUGCUGACUAAAAGGAAAAUUCAGUUUAGGGUUUAAAACCCUAAAUGCUGAUUGCAUGGUAAAGCUCAGUUUAGAGUUUAAAACUCUAAUGCUGGCUGAAAGGAAAAUUCAGUUUAGGGUUUAAAACCCUAAUGCUGAUUGCAUGGAAAAGCUCAGUUUAGAGUUUAAAACUCUAAUGCUGGCUGAAAGGAAAAGUUCAGUUUAGGGUUUAAAACCCUAAUGCUGAUUGCAUGAAAAAGCUCAGUUUAAAGUUUAAAACUCUAAUGCUGGCUGAAAGGAAGAUUCAGUUUAGGGUUUAAAACCCUAAUGCUGAUUUGCAUGAAAAAGCUCAGUUUAGAGUUUAAAACUCUAAUGUUGGCUGAAAGGAAAAAGUUCAGUUUAGGGUUUAAAACCCUAAUGCUGAUUGCAUGAAAAAGCUCAGUUUAGAGUUUAAAACUCUAAUGCUGGCUGAAAGGAAAAAGUUCAGUUUAGGGUUUAAAACCUUAAUGCUGAUUGCAUGAAAAAGCUCAGUUUAGAGUUUAGAACUCUAAUGCUGGCUGAAAGGAAAAUUCAGUUUAGGGUUUAAAACCCUAAUGCUGAUUUGCAUGAAAAAGCUCAGUUUAGAGUUUAAAACUCUAAUGCUGGCUGAAAGGAAAAAGUUCAGUUUAAGGUUUAAAACCCUAAUGCUGAUUGCAUGAAAAAGCUCAGUUUAGAGUUUAAAACUCUAAUGCUGGCUGAAAGGAAAAUUCAGUUUAGGGUUUAAAACCCUAAUGCUGAUUGCAUGGGAAAGCUCAGUUUAGAGUUUAAAACUCUAAUGCUGGCUGAAAGGAAAAAGUUCAGUUUAGGGUUUAAAACCCUAAUGCUGACUAAAAAGGGAAAUUCAGUUUAGGGUUUAAAACCCUAAUGCUAAUUGGCUGGGGAUAAAGCUCGAGAAUACCACACGAUCUAUUUUUUUGAGUUUUCUUAUUUUAAUAGAAGAUACAAGGGAGUUUUGCGGGAACUUACCUUU
rnacentral:lncRNA from 1 species